rnacentral:rRNA from 1 species
GAAAUGAUAUGAAGAACUUGUUCAGAUUUGAUUUUCAACAUUGCAAUGAGUGGCGAACGGGUGAGUUAACACGUGGGAAACCUACCUCUUAGCAGGGGAUAACAUUUGGAAACAAUGCUAAUACCGUAUAAUAAUUAAAACCGCAUGGUUUUAGUUUAAAAGAUGGUCUUGCUAUCACUAAGAGAUGGUCCCGCGGUGUAUUAGUUAGUUGGUGAGGUAAUGGCUCACCAAGACAAUGAUACAUAGCCGAGUUGAGAGACUGACCGGCCACAAUGGGACUGAGACACGGCCCAUACUCCUACGGGAGGCAGCAGUAGGGAAUCUUCCACAAUGGACGAAAGUCUGAUGGAGCAACGCCGCGUGUGUGAUGAAGGGUUUCGGCUCGUAAAACACUGUUGUAAGAGAAGAAUGACAUUGAGAGUAACUGUUCAAUGUGUGACGGUAUCUUACCAGAAAGGAACGGCUAAAUACGUG